rnacentral:ncRNA from 2 species
AAACCGGCACGCAACUGGCGAUAGGCACCCUGCCCUGACGGAUUUUUGGGGUGCCGAAGUGGGAACACCACGGGGGAGCGUGCCGCAGGCGCCUAUUCGGGACUUGUGAUCAGCCGUUCGCCUGGGCAGCCCUG